UACAGAGGGGGCAAGCGUUAUUCGGAAUUAUUGGGCGUAAAGGGCGCGUAGGCGGCUUGGCAAGUGGAUGGUGAAAUCCCUCGGCUUAACCGAGGAGCUGCCGUCCAAACUGCUUCGCUUGAGACCGGGAGAGGUGAGUGGAAUUCCCAGUGUAGCGGUGAAAUGCGUAGAUAUUGGGAGGAACACCAGUGGCGAAGGCGGCUCACUGGACCGGUACUGACGCUGAUGCGCGAAAGCGUGGGGAGCAAGCGGG
rnacentral:rRNA from 1 species